rnacentral:rRNA from 1 species
GAUGAACGCUGGCGGCGUGCCUAAUACAUGCAAGUCGAGCGAACAGAUGAGGAGCUUGCUCCUCUGACGUUAGCGGCGGACGGGUGAGUAACACGUGGAUAACCUACCUAUAAGACUGGGAUAACUUCGGGAAACCGGAGCUAAUACCGGAUAAUAUAUUGAACCGCAUGGUUCAAUAGUGAAAGACGGUUUUGCUGUCACUUAUAGAUGGAUCCCCGCCGCAUUAGCUAGUUGGUAAGGUAACGGCUUACCAAGGCAACGAUGCGUAGCCGACCUGAGAGGGUGAUCGGCCACACUGGAACUGAGACACGGUCCAGACUCCUACGGGAGGCAGCAGUAGGGAAUCUUCCGCAAUGGGCGAAAGCCUAACGUAGCAACGCCGCGUGAGUGAUGAAGGUCUUCGGAUAGUAAAACUCUGUUAUUAGGGAAGAACAAAUGUGUAAGUAACUAUGCACGGCUUGACGGUACCGAAUCAGAAAGCCACGGCUAACUACGUG